rnacentral:misc_RNA from 1 species
CAACCCUCGGUCACCACCGGUUUUGAGCCAGCAGGGCCCCAGGGACCCGGCUGGCUUCAAAGUUGUAAGCUCUGCUGGCUGCCAGGCCCGACCGGAACAUAGUAAAAUCAUUUUCACUUGUUCGAAGGCGAGCUUGAGCGGUACGGCCUGAACAAAACCUACCAAACUCUAAG